AACGAACGCUGGCGGCAUGCCUAACACAUGCAAGUCGAACGAGACCUUCGGGUCUAGUGGCGCACGGGUGCGUAACGCGUGGGAACCUGCCCUUAGGUUCGGAAUAACUCCCCGAAAGGGGUGCUAAUACCGGAUAAUGUCUUCGGACCAAAGAUUUAUCGCCUUUGGAUGGGCCCGCGUUGGAUUAGCUAGUUGGUAGGGUAAAAGCCUACCAAGGCGACGAUCCAUAGCUGGUCUGAGAGGAUGAUCAGCCACACUGGGACUGAGACACGGCCCAGACUCCCCCGGGGGGCGGGAUGGGGGAAAUUGGGACAAGGGGCGAAAGCCUGACCCCGCAAGGCCCCGGGAGGGAUGAAGGCCUUAGGGUUGUAAAGCUUUUUUACCCGGGAUUAUAAGGACAUUCCCGGGAGAAAAAGCUCCGGCUACCUCCUG
rnacentral:rRNA from 1 species